rnacentral:rRNA from 1 species
UCUUGACAUCCAGAGAACUUUCCAGAGAUGGAUUGGUGCCUUCGGGAACUCUGAGACAGGUGCUGCAUGGCUGUCGUCAGCUCGUGUUGUGAAAUGUUGGGUUAAGUCCCGCAACGAGCGCAACCCUUAUCCUUGUUUGCCAGCACGUAAUGGUGGGAACUCCAGGGAGACUGCCGGUGAUAAACCGGAGGAAGGUGGGGACGACGUCAAGUCAUCAUGGCCCUUACGAGUAGGGCUACACACGUGCUACAAUGGCGUAUACAGAGGGCUGCCAACCAGCGAUGGUGAGCGAAUCCCAGAAAGUACGUCGUAGUCCGGAUUGGAGUCUGCAACUCGACUCCAUGAAGUCGGAAUCGCUAGUAAUCGUGAAUCAGAAUGUCACGGUGAAUACGUUCCCGGGCCUUGUACACACCGCCCGUCACACCAUGGGAGUGGGCUGCACCAGAAGUAGAUAGCUUAACCUUCGGGAGGGCGUUUACCACGGUGUGGUUCAUGAGCUGGGGUGAAGUCGUAACAAGGUAACCAAGGG